CAUGAUUCAGCGGCGGACGGGUGAGUAAUGCCUAGGAAUCUGCCUGGUAGUGGGGGACAACGUUUCGAAAGGAACGCUAAUACCGCAUACGUCCUACGGGAGAAAGUGGGGGAUCUUCGGACCUCACGCUAUCAGAUGAGCCUAGGUCGGAUUAGCUAGUUGGUGAGGUAAAGGCUCACCAAGGCGACGAUCCGUAACUGGUCUGAGAGGAUGAUCAGUCACACUGGAACUGAGACACGGUCCAGACUCCUACGGGAGGCAGCAGUGGGGAAUAUUGGACAAUGGGCGAAAGCCUGAUCCAGCCAUGCCGCGUGUGUGAAGAAGGUCUUCGGAUUGUAAAGCACUUUAAGUUGGGAGGAAGGGCAGUAAGUUAAUACCUUGCUGUUUUGACGUUACCAACAGAAUAAGCACCGGCUAACUUCGUGCCAGCAGCCGCGGUAAUACGAAGGGUGCAAGCGUUAAUCGGAAUUACUGGGCGUAAAGCGCGCGUAGGUGGUUCGUUAAGUUGGAUGUGAAAGCCCCGGGCUCAACCUGGGAACUGCAUCCAAAACUGGCGAGCUAGAGUAUGGCAGAGGGUGGUGGAAUUUCCUGUGUAGCGGUGAAAUGCGUAGAUAUAGGAAGGAACACCAGUGGCGAAGGCGACCACCUGGGCUAAUACUGACACUGAGGUGCGAAAGCGUGGGGAGCAAACAGGAUUGGAUACCCUGGUAGUCCACGCCGUAAACGAUGUCGACUAGCCGUUGGGAUCCUUGAGAUCUUAGUGGCGCAGCUAACGCAUUAAGCCGACCGCCUGGGGAGUA
rnacentral:rRNA from 1 species